UGUGGUGUGGCUCAAGAGGUAGAGUGCUUGCUUGGUGAGCAUGAGGUCCUGAGUUCAACUCCCAGUACUGCCA
rnacentral:tRNA from 1 species